GAUGAACGCUAGCUACAGGCUUAACACAUGCAAGUCGAGGGGUAACAAGGGGAAAGCUUGCUUUCCUUGUUGACGACCGGCGCACGGGUGAGUAACGCGUAUCCAACCUGCCUAUAACUAGGGAAUAACCUUGCGAAAGUAAGACUAAUACCCUAUGAUUUCCUUUGAUGACAUCAGAUUAGGAAUAAAGAUUUAUCGGUUAUAGGUGGGGAUGCGUCUGAUUAGCUUGUUGGCGGGGUAACGGCCCACCAAGGCAACGAUCAGUAGGGGUUUUGAGAGGAAGGUCCCCCAAAUUGGAACUGAGACACGGUCCAAACUCCGACGGGAGGCAGCAGUGAGGAAUAUUGGUCGAUGGGCGGAAGCCUGAACCAGCCAAGUAGCGUGCAGGAUGACGGCCCUAUGGGUUGUAAACUGCUUUUAUACAGGAAUAAAGUUAGCCACGUGUGGUUAUUUGUAGGUACUGUAUGAAUAAGGACCGGCUAAUUCCGUGCCAGCAGCCGCGGUAA
rnacentral:rRNA from 1 species